rnacentral:rRNA from 1 species
UGGGGAAUUUUGGACAAUGGGCGAAAGCCUGAUCCAGCAAUGCCGCGUGUGUGAAGAAGGCCUUCGGGUUGUAAAGCACUUUUGUCCGGAAAGAAAUCCUUGGCUCUAAUACAGUCGGGGGAUGACGGUACCGGAAGAAUAAGCACCGGCUAACUACGUGCCAGCAGCCGCGGUAAUACGUAGGGUGCAAGCGUUAAUCGGAAUUACUGGGCGUAAAGCGUGCGCAGGCGGUUUGCUAAGACCGAUGUGAAAUCCCCGGGCUCAACCUGGGAACUGCAUUGGUGACUGGCAGGCUAGAGUAUGGCAGAGGGGGGUAGAAUUCCACGUGUAGCAGUGAAAUGCGUAGAGAUGUGGAGGAAUACCGAUGGCGAAGGCAGCCCCCUGGGCCAAUACUGACGCUCAUGCACGAAAGCGUGGGGAGCAAACAGGAUUAGAUACCCUGGUAGUCCACGCCCUAAACGAUGUCAACUAGCUGUUGGGGUCUUCGGACCUUGGUAGCGCAGCUAACGCGUGAAGUUGACCGCCUGGGGAGUACGGUCGCAAGAUUAAAACUUAAAUGAAUUGACGGGGUCAUAGCUGUUUCCU